UGAUAUUUUACUCAGUUUGCUCAUUGAAUAAAUUAAAAGAAUUAUUUUAAUUGUAUUUUCUAUUCUAAUAUCGAUAAGCUAUUUUAAUAACAAUAUUUAAUAUUACUGUUAAUAGUUAAACAUCGCGCCUCUAAAAUAAAGAGUCGCGCCUUUUUGCUUAUCAUGUGAUUUUGAUUGGGAGAGAAAUGGUUUUGCAAGUUUCAACUGUUUUUUGCUAUUAAUAAAUUAAGAAAUAUUGUUUUUAAAUUGUGAGUUUUUGAUCGUGAUAUUGAUUUGUUUAAACACUUUAAUUGUGUUAUUUGGCUAAAAUUUGACCAUCGUCACUGUUUGUUUUACUGUUUCUUGUGUAAUUUGGAUCAUUUGCUGGGAGGAAGUUGGUCAAUAUAACUGUUGAAUAUGGAUUUAAGCAAAUGUAAAAUGGCUGACUUACCUGUGUGUAUGUAUGUAUGCUUUUUCAUAUCCGACUUUUGAUGGAAUCGUUUGCCACAAUAUUGACAUGGAUAAGGUCUUGUAUCCGAAUGAAUUAAGAGCUCGAUGUUGGGACAAGCUAACCUCAUGGCCAAAAGUUUUGUUGCACAGCUCGCAAGCAAAGGGACGUUUACCUGAAUGUGAUCGACGUACAUGAACCUCAAGUCCAUGUGGAGUGCUAAACAUUUUAUCACAUUUAACACAUGAAAAGACAACCCCAUCAGUGGUGGCUGUUCCGUUUGUUUCUAUGGGUGAUCCGCGAGAAAACGAGUGAAGGUGGGAAAAGAAACCAUUAGGACCGUUUGGACCCAGGUGAGGGCCAAAAAGUCGACUAACUAACGAACUAUUGUCCAAAUUGUUGACUUUUUGUCCCAUCAAUGAUGUUAAACCUUGACCAGUUAAACCACAGAACGGGAAUCCUAUGUAACGAGAAGUCGAUCGAUCCUAUUACAUGGCCUGUUAUCGUUUACCUUUCUAACCCUCGAUAUAUUUUAUAGAAGUUUCAAAUUUUUAAAGUGUUGAUCGAUAAAACAACCUCAUUUAUUUAUUAUUUAACAUUAUCAUGAAAUCAUGAGAAUUGAAAGAAAUCAUAAAAAUUUGAAACUUUAUAA